rnacentral:rRNA from 1 species
GCGGCGGACGGGUGAGUAACGCGUGGGUAACCUGCCCUGUACACACGGAUAACAUACCGAAAGGUAUGCUAAUACGGGAUAAUAUAAGAAAUUCGCAUGUUUUUCUUAUCAAAGCUCCGGCGGUACAGGAUGGACCCGCGUCUGAUUAGCUAGUUGGUGAGGUAAUGGCUCACCAAGGCGACGAUCAGUAGCCGACCUGAGAGGGUGAUCGGCCACAUUGGAACUGAGACACGGUCCAAACUCCUACGGGAGGCAGCAUG